GACGAACGCUGGCGGCGUGCUUAACACAUGCAAGUCGAACGGAAAGGCCCUGCUUUUGUGGGGUGCUCGAGUGGCGAACGGGUGAGUAACACGUGAGUAACCUGCCCUUGACUUUGGGAUAACUUCAGGAAACUGGGGCUAAUAUCGGAUAGGAGCUCCUGCUGCAUGGUGGGGGUUGGAAAGUUUCGGCGGUUGGGGAUGGACUCGCGGCUUAUCAGCUUGUUGGUGGGGUAGUGGCUUACCAAGGCUUUGACGGGUAGCCGGCCUGAGAGGGUGACCGGCCACAUUGGGACUGAGAUACGGCCCAGACGCCAACGGGAGGCAGCAGUGGGGAAUAUUGCACAAUGGGCCGAAGCCUGAUGCAGCAACGCCGCGUGCGGGAUGACGGCCUUCUGGUUGUAAACCGCUUUCGCCGGUGACGAAGCGUGAGUGACGGUAAUGGGUAAAGAAGCACCGGCUAACUACGUG
rnacentral:rRNA from 1 species